CAGCAGCCGCGGGAAUACGUAGGUGGCAAGCGUUGUCCGGAAUUAUUGGGCGUAAAGGGCUCGCAGGCGGUUUCUUAAGUCUGAUGUGAAAGCCCCCGGCUCAACCGGGGAGGGUCAUUGGAAACUGGGAAACUUGAGUGCAGAAGAGGAGAGUGGAAUUCCACGUGUAGCGGUGAAAUGCGUAGAGAUGUGGAGGAACACCAGUGGCGAAGGCGACUCUCUGGUCUGUAACUGACGCUGAGGAGCGAAAGCGUGGGGAGCGAACAGAAUUAGAUACCCCGGUAGUCCCUGUCUCUUAUAC
rnacentral:rRNA from 1 species